CCCUCUGUGGUGUAGUGGUAGCACGAGUUCCCGCUACGGAUGAAACGCGGGCUCAACUCCUGUCCGAGGUCGA